UACGCCGGACGUGCACUGCACGUUAGAUCAAGACACAUCACAAUGCAUGUCAGGGCCCCAUGCACCGCUUUAGGGUCAAUCUUAUCAUUUCUACUGCGUUGUCCACCCCUCAUUCCCGUGGCCUUCCUCUUUGCUCAUUUCGUGUCCACACAACAUGUUCUCAUCUCUUUCUUUCUACCCCUCUCCUUCGCCAUGAGAGAAGAACCACAUAGCUCGGCAUGUGCAUUCCUUUUUUUGGGUCCAUCAGCGGCGGCAUGCUCCUCUCCAUGAGAUUAGCGACGGCGACAAGUGUUGCAACCAACACCCACCGAUGCCGGAGACAACGGAUACAAGUGCGGGAGACCCCGUGGUGGCAUGCAUUCAAGAUGUUGGAGCAAGUACAACAUCGCUUGGUUGGCCACGGAGGAGAUCUCACCGGAGCUCCUGAGCUACGACCACAAUGGCGAGGGCCUGGAAGCGGCGUGCCAGGGGAGCGUGGGGAUUUCCCUUUUUCUAUUGCGACCUAUGCGGGAAGAAGAUGACUCAAGGGAAAGCCAAAUCUAAUAGUUGUACAUGAAGGAAUCAGACAAUUGAGCGGUGCCUGGCCCAAAUUUGGGCCGGUCGACGGGCGCCUACCACUAGCCAAAGAUGAAUGGACAAAGACUAAUUUUUUUGAACCUAAACACUCAUGAUCUUUUUUCACGCAGGGAGGGGGGAGUGACCCCUGGAGUACACAUAGCUCCACCUCUGAGCUUAUCCAUGUAGAGAGUCUCUGAGCUAGAGUCUAUAGGGAUGUGUUUAGAUGCUGGGCUAUCACAGUUUGGGAUAGGGAUAAUCGUACUUUUGCAUGGAUACCUGUCAUUUGGUUGGUGGGCGAGUAGGAAUAAGGAUGGCCGGAUACUCGUAAUAUUCCCGUAAAACGAGGCUCUACUUGUCCGUGAAAAUCUCAUAGAUUUGGGCAUCCUGAGCGCAUGCACGACGCAAAGGCAGGCCGUGAAACGUUUUCUCGGUUUUAUUUUGUUCACCUCUCAAACAAAAGGCCAACCCUAUCUCUUUCCGCUUUCCAUCUCUCUUUUCUCUACCGUGGUGGCUAUAGAUCGAAGCGCGACAAUUGAGAGGUGAGACACGGCGGUAUGGGUCUCUCCUUGCGUUGUUUACUUGUCGUUCCAUCUCUUCUUCCUCUAUCGAUCAUCUAUCGCAUCGGGGUUGCAAUGUUAACCCAGCAUAGGGCAUGGAGGCGGUAGACACAAGUCAAUACCGCGCGCGGCCAUCGGAGCCCUGUGGAUGGAGGCGGUUUCUCUCCGGCAGGGCAUGCGCGAUGUACUCAGCGGGGCGUGGUGUGUGUCGUAUGCGCAUGCAUGAUGUACUCACUAGGUGUGGUGUGUGUGGUCUGUGCAUGCCAUGUUGUGUGUGCGUGGUGUACUGGUGUGUACUACCUCCCCUUGAUUUUUCUCUCCAAAAAUUUGAUCCUUUGUUUGA